UAGGGCAACCAAUCAAUGCCCAAAAUCACAUCAAAAUCCAUAAUAUCCAAUGACAUAAGAUUAGCCGGCAUAAUAAUACCCUCUACUAUCACUGGACAUCCUGAAUAUACCCGAUCCACAAAACAACUAUCCCCUCUAGGCAUAGAAAAUUCUAAAUUAUAUCCUAGAGGUGUAGGAUGAGGUUGUGUCACUUGAGCAAAUGUAUUAGAAAUAACAGAAUGCGUAGCACCAUAAUCAAUCAACACCCUAGCAAAAUGACCAAGAAUAUUUAACAUACCCAUGAUUAAAUUUGGAUUAUUCUGGGCAUCUUGCAGUGACAUGUUAUGGAUACGCCCCUGAUUCUGCUGU
rnacentral:lncRNA from 1 species